rnacentral:pre_miRNA from 2 species
UCUUAUAUAUGAUCAAAGAAAGUGGUUUCUUGAGAUGGAAUCUACUCUUAGAAAAGAUGCUGGGAA